ACAAGGUUUCCGUAGGUGAACCUGCGGAAGGAUCAUUACAGAAUGAAAAGUGCUUAACUGCAUUUUUUCUUACACAUGUGUUUUUCUUUUUUUGAAAACUUUGCUUUGGUAGGCCUUCUAUAUGGGGCCUGCCAGAGAUUAAACUCAACCAAAUUUUAUUUAAUGUCAACCGAUUAUUUAAUAGUCAAAACUUUCAACAACGGAUCUCUUGGUUCUCGCAUCGAUGAAGAACGCAGCGAAAUGCGAUAAGUAAUAUGAAUUGCAGAUAUUCGUGAAUCAUCGAAUCUUUGAACGCACAUUGCGCCCUUUGGUAUUCCAAAGGGCAUGCCUGUUUGAGCGUCAUUUCUCCCUCAAACCCUCGGGUUUGGUGUUGAGCGAUACGCUGGGUUUGCUUGAAAGAAAGGCGGAGUAUAAACUAAUGGAUAGGUUUUUUCCACUCAUUGGUACAAACUCCAAAACUUCUUCCAAAUUCGACCUCAAAUCAGGUAGGACUACCCGCUGAACUUAAGCAUAUCAAUAAGC
rnacentral:misc_RNA from 1 species